rnacentral:lncRNA from 1 species
AGUAAGUGCCUCAGUGUAGAGAGGAGGAGGACCCCUGAGGACUCCUGAGUGGCAAGUUUUCCCAGAGGAAGACAGAGGCCUUGGUAGAGGCUCCCUGAUUUCCAUUUGGCACAGCCUCUUCUCAUAGAGGGCACAGGCCCUGCAAAUUCUGCUUCAGCUCCCUGUCCUUGCCACCCAUAGCUAUCACAUGCCUAGAAUGUAUGAGCUUUCAAUGAGCAAGAAAAUCUGUUCCUCUUGACAUCUUUGGGUGUGGGUAAGGAAAAGAAUAAAUGUUCCAUGCUAAGCAUAUUGUAAAGCUGUGAAUGUGUCACGAAGGAGGAAGUUUCAGGAGUGUGAUUUCUUCAUGUUUACAAAAUGAACAAGUGACUCAGAUCUAUUGUACACAUUCACAGGCGCUGUGUCCUAAGCUGAUCCUGAUUUUAAAGUCAUGUGUCUUCCUUUUCAUGGGGAUAGGGAGGUUUUCAGUGAGAGAGGGAGCCAGGGAGGCUGAGAGAAGAUGCUGAUUCCAGGGCAUUGCAUUGAGGGGCCUGUUCUUGGGCUCUCAUUCUUUAGCUCCUCCCUCCCUCUUUGUCUGUCAUUUAUUUCUGCCUUCCAGUCAGCAGGAUUUUUUCUCUUUGGGGUAUGUUUUCUGUUAGGCUAACUUCAGACAACUCUGAACUAGAAACAGAUGUCUGUGCAGCCCCAAGCAUCUGUGGAUCCAUUAGUUUGGGAAGCCCUGCCCUGAUUGGCUCUGAGCACUUGGCCACGCUGUGGAGCUGAGCUACAUUUUGGGUGGCUUCACUGACAUUGUGUUGACAGGAUUGUUAAGCCUCACUAGAUUUGGACCCUCAAGCUUUGACCUUUUUUAAUUUCUUCCAUAUUGAAUAUACUUUGGGAAUUGUCCUCCUGGUUUUUUAAAAAAUAAAAAAAAAAAAAGUGCCACCAUAAAAAUAAACUUAAACUAGUUUAUCAAAAAAUUAGUCUAAAAAGGAAAAAUAAGCAUGUUUAAUUAAUACUAAAAAUCCAUGACAUUUUGUAAUUAGUAUGCUAAGUAAACGCUACAGAGUAACAUAUUUAACAUACCUGAUUAAACCUGGAGUUUAGGAGUCAUGAGAGUCUGUCUGGUUUUUGUUUUGUUUUUUUGUUUGUUUGUUUGUUUGUUUGUUUGAUUUGGUACUAGAGAUUGAACUUCGGGUGCUCUUCCACUGAGCUACAUCCCGGCCCAUUUUAUGUUAUGUUAUGUUAUGUUAUGUUAUGUUAUGGAGAGAGGGUCUCACUAAGUUGCUCAAGUUGGCCUCAAACUUGCAAUCCUCCUGCCUCAGCUUCUAAAAUAGCUGGGAUUACAGGCGUGUGCCACUGCAACCAGUAUCAUGACAGUCUCGGGACAGCAGUGGAUGCGACAAAUGUGACCACUUCUUCCACCAGCUUUGUGACUUCCUCCUUCACUGCACUUUUUCCCAAAAUAAACACCUUCAGUGGCUCUUUACCUUUUAUCCUUUGAGGAUUAAAAUUCGUCAUUUAUUUUAAGAUUUACUGAACAAAUGGUGAUAGUAGGGCUAGCUUUAUUCUGUUAUUUGUCUCACUUUCUAUACAUUGCUUUGUCUAGAGCUCCAAAAUUAGAAGAGACAGAAGAUAAUUAUAUAAAUUAAAAUACGUAUUACCCUUUAGGAAAUCAGAG